GCCUUGAUAGCUCAGUUGGUUAGAGUGUGGUGCUAACACACCAAGGUUGCAGGAUUGAUCCCCUUAUGGGACA